UACGUAGGUGGCAAGCGUUGUCCGGAAUUAUUGGGCGUAAAGCGCGCGCAGGUGGUUCCUUAAGUCUGAUGUGAAAGCCCCCGGCUCAACCGGGGAGAGUCGUCGGGGACCGCACCGCUUGAGGGCGGUAGGGGCUGGUGGAAUGCCUGGUGUAGUGGUGAAAUGCGUAGAGAUCAGGCAGAACACCUGGGGGCGAAGGCGGCCAGCUGGGCUGUUGCUGACGCUGAGGCGCGACAGCGUGGGGAGCAAACAGG
rnacentral:rRNA from 1 species